rnacentral:rRNA from 1 species
AGAGUUUGAUCAUGGCUCAGGAUGAACGCUGGCGGUAUGCUUAACACAUGCAAGUCGAACGGAUGUUUUCGGACAUUAGUGGCGGACGGGUGAGUAACGCGUGAGAAUCUAGCUUCAGGUUGGGGACAACAGUUGGAAACGACUGCUAAUACCGAAUAUGCCGAGAGGUGAAAGAUUAAUUGCCUGAAGAAGAGCUCGCGUCUGAUUAGCUAGUUGGUGGGGUAAGAGCUUACCAAGGCGACGAUCGGUAGCUGGUCUGAGAGGACGAUCAGCCACACUGGGACUGAGACACGGCCCAGACUCCUACGGGAGGCAGCAGUGGGGAAUUUUCCGCAAUGGGCGAAAGCCUGACGGAGCAAUACCGCGUGAGGGAAGAAGGCUCUUGGGUUGUAAACCUCUUUUCUUAGGGAAGAAAAAAAUGACGGUACCUAAGGAAUAAGCAUCGGCUAACUCCGUGCCAGCAGCCGCGGUAAUACGGAGGAUGCAAGCGUUAUCCGGAAUGAUUGGGCGUAAAGCGUCCGCAGGUGGUUUAUCAAGUUUGCGGUUAAAGGUUCUGGCUCAACCAGAGACAGGCCGUGAAAACUGAUAGACUAGAGUAUGGUAGGGGCAGAGGGAAUUCCCAGUGUAGCGGUGAAAUGCGUAGAGAUUGGGAAGAACACCGGUGGCGAAAGCGCUCUGCUAGGCCAAAACUGACACUGAGGGACGAAAGCUAGGGGAGCGAAUGGGAUUAGAUACCCCAGUAGUCCUAGCCGUAAACGA